rnacentral:piRNA from 1 species
UGGGAUUUGAACCCUGGUGUCGUGGCUCU